rnacentral:rRNA from 1 species
GGGGCUUCUUGGUGAUUCAUGAUAACUUUACGGAUCGCAUGGCCUUGCGCCGGCGACGGUUCAUUCAAAUUUCUGCCCUAUCAACUUUCGAUGGUAAGGUAUUGGCUUACCAUGGUUUCAACGGGUAACGGGGAAUUAGGGUUCGAUUCCGGAGAGGGAGCCCGAGAAACGGCUACCACAUCCAAGGAAGGCAGCAGGCGCGCAAAUUACCCAAUCCCGAUACGGGGAGGUAGUGACAAUAAAUACUGAUACAGGGCUCUUUUGGGUCUUGUAAUUGGAAUGAGUACAAUUUAAACCUCUUAACGAGGAACAAUUGGAGGGCAAGUCUGGUGCCAGCAGCCGCGGUAAUUCCAGCUCCAAUAGCGUAUAUUAAAGUUGUUGCAGUUAAAAAGCUCGUAGUUGAACCUUGGGUCUGGCUGGCAGGUCCGCCUCACCGCGUGUACUUGUCCGGCCGGGCCUUCCUUCUGGAGAACCUCAUGCCCUUCACUGGGCGUGUUGGGGACCAGGACUUUUACUUUGAAAAAAUUAGAGUGUUCAAAGCAGGCCUUUGCUCGAAUACGUUAGCAUGGAAUAAUAGAAUAGGACGUGCGGUCCUAUUUUGUUGGUUUCUAGGACCGCCGUAAUGAUUAAUAGGGACAGUCGGGGGCAUCAGUAUUCAAUUGUCAGAGGUGAAAUUCUUGGAUUUAUUGAAGACUAACUACUGCGAAAGCAUUUGCCAAGGAUGUUUUCAUUAAUCAGUGAACGAAAGUUAGGGGAUCGAAGACGAUCAGAUACC